rnacentral:rRNA from 1 species
UGGCGGCAGGCCUAACACAUGCAAGUCGAGCGGUAGAGAGAAGCUUGCUUCUCUUGAGAGCGGCGGACGGGUGAGUAAUGCCUAGGAAUCUGCCUGGUAGUGGGGGAUAACGUUCGGAAACGGACGCUAAUACCGCAUACGUCCUACGGGAGAAAGCAGGGGACCUUCGGGCCUUGCGCUAUCAGAUGAGCCUAGGUCGGAUUAGCUAGUUGGUGAGGUAAUGGCUCACCAAGGCGACGAUCCGUAACUGGUCUGAGAGGAUGAUCAGUCACACUGGAACUGAGACACGGUCCAGACUCCUACGGGAGGCAGCAGUGGGGAAUAUUGGACAAUGGGCGAAAGCCUGAUCCAGCCAUGCCGCGUGUGUGAAGAAGGUCUUCGGAUUGUAAAGCACUUUAAGUUGGGAGGAAGGGUUGUAGAUUAAUACUCUGCAAUUUUGACGUUACCGACAGAAUAAGCACCGGCUAACUCUGUGCCAGCAGCCGCGGUAAUACAGAGGGUGCAAGCGUUAAUCGGAAUUACUGGGCGUAAAGCGCGCGUAGGUGGUUUGUUAAGUUGGAUGUGAAAUCCCCGGGCUCAACCUGGGAACUGCAUUCAAAACUGACUGACUAGAGUAUGGUAGAGGGUGGUGGAAUUUCCUGUGUAGCGGUGAAAUGCGUAGAUAUAGGAAGGAACACCAGUGGCGAAGGCGACCACCUGGCUUAAUACUGACACUGAGGUGCGAAAGCGU